AUUGAACGCUGGCGGCAGGCCUAACACAUGCAAGUCGAACGAGUGGCGGACUGGUGAGUAAUGUCGGGGAAACUGCCUGAUGGAGGGGGAUAACUACUGGAAACGGUAGCUAAUACCGCAUACAAUCAGAGGUGCCCAGAUGGGAUUAGCUUGUCGGUGGGGUAAUGGCUCACCAAGGCGACGAUCCCUAGCUGGUCUGAGAGGAUGACCAGCCACCAUGGAACUGAGACACGGUCCAGACUCCUACGGGAGGCAGCAGGGGGGAAUAUUGCACAAUGGGCGCAAGCCUGAUGCAGCCAUGCCGCGUGUAUGAAGAAGGCCUUCGGGUUGUAAAGCACUGUCAGCGGGGAGGCGUUACCCGCAGAAGAAGCACCGGCUAACUCCGUGCCAGCAGCCGCGGUAAUUC
rnacentral:rRNA from 1 species